rnacentral:rRNA from 1 species
UGGAGAGUUUGAUCCUGGCUCAGGAUGAACGCUGGCGGCGUGCCUAAUACAUGCAAGUCGAGCGGCAGCGCGGUCUUCGGACUGGCGGCGAGUACGGCGGUUUGGGAACGGCCUGCGCACGAUUAGAUAGUUGGUAGGGUAAUGGCCUACCAAGUCGACGAUCGUUAGCUGGUCUGAGAGGAUGAUCAGCCAGACUGGGACUGAGAACGGCCCAGACUCCUACGGGAGGCAGCAGUAGGGAAUUUUCCACAAUGGGCGAAAGCCUGAUGGAGCAACGCCGCGUGCAGGAUGAAUGCCUUCGGGUUGUAAACUGCUUUUAUAUGUGACGAAUAUGACGGUAGCAUAUGAAUAAGGAUCGGCUAACUCCGUGCCAGCAGCCGCGGUCAUACGGAGGAUCCAAGCGUUAUCCGGAAUUACUGGGCGUAAAGAGU